AUAGCUUAGAAGGUAUAUAAGCUCUAGAAAACUUUGUAAUCUUGAGUUGGUCUGGCGAUAAUUUCCAAACCUUCUCCCUGUCACCAGUUACAGAAAUAAAAACUCCCUCCCCCCCCUUCCAGUUCAUCUGUAUCUCAUUACUGGGCCAUGAGAGUAAGCAGCCCGGCCCUCAGUUUGGUCUGGGAACAGUGCUUGAUCCAAGACCCAAGCCUCCAUUCAGCAAACACGUGAGGAGUAUGUGGUAAUAAAAAAAAAAGCAAUGUACCUGCGCUUCGGGUCCUAUCACUUCCCAGGUCGCCCGCCCACCACCUUGGAGACCUCACUGCAUCUCCGGUCCUCUCUCUGCCCUGUGUCUUCCCUCUUUACAUUCCCGGCUUCUCACUAGCAUUUAGAUAUGCUCUUCCAUCUUAAAGAAAAAGCUCCUUGGCCAGGUGCGAUGGCUUAUGCCUAUAAUCCCAGCACUUUGGGAGGCCAAGGUGGGCGGAUCACCUGAGGGCUGGCAUUUGAGACCAGCCUGACCAACAUGGAGAAACCUGUCUCUACUAAAAAAUACAAAAAAAAAUUAGCUGGACCUGGUGGCUCAUACCUGUAAUCCCAGCUACUCAGGAGGCUGAGGCAGGAGAAUCACUUGAACCUGGGAGGUGGAGGUUGCCAUAAGCCAAGAUCGUGCUAUCGCCAGGCGCAGUGGCUCACACCAGUAAUCCCAGCACUUUGGGAGGCUGAGGCAGGCAGAUCAUGGGGUCAGGAGUUCCAGAUCAGCCUGCCCAACAUGGUGAAACCCUGUCUCUACUAAAAAAUUAGCUGAGCAUGGUGGUGGGUGCCUAUAAUCCCAGCUGUUCAGGAGGCUAGACAGGAGAAUAGUUUGAACCCGAGAGGUGGAGGUUGCAGUGAGCCAAGAUCGUGCCACUGCACUCCAACCUGGGUGACAGGGCAAGAAUCCAUCUCAAAAAAAAAAGAAAAAAAAGAGAGACCCCAGAGAGCUCCAGAGUUCUUUCAGCCACCUGAGGACACAGUAAGAAGACGGUGGUCUCUGAACCAGGAAGUGGGCCUUCACCAGAUCCCACAUCUCCUGGUGCCUUGAUUUGGUAUUUCUCAGCCUCCAGAACUGAGAGAAACAAGAAGCUGGAGAUGACUGCAGUACCUCUUCCUUGCAUUAGGGCAAAGGUUCCUCCCGGUCUCUCUAUCUCUAGUCUUAUCCCUGGCCAAUCCAUUCUUCACACUGUAGCAAGAGUGACUGUCCAAAAUGUGCAUCUGAUCCUGUGAUUUCCCUGAGGGCUUCGCUUUGCCCUCGGGCUGAAGUCCAAGCAUCUAAUUAGAUUGCAGUACUUGUUAAGAACCUUUUCAGCUCACCACCCGCGCCCUCCAGCCUGCUGCUUGGAUGACACUGGCACCAACCAGGAAGUUUAUCUGACUGCCUCAAACUACAUGAGGGGCCCCGAAGACUUGGCUGAUGGUCUCUCUCUCAUGGUUCUCAGAGCACCCAGGGACAGAAGGUUACCAUUCAUUGAGGAGCAGCCCAGAAGAGUCUAGAACUGGUCAGCCGGUACACAGUCAGAGCUAACACUGACUCCUGGAGGGCGGCUUGUCAUGUAUUCACCGGAGGCCUGAGACGCUCUGAGAUUUGCACGUAGCAUUCCUGGAAUGGCACCUUGUUUCUCAACCUAAACACUCUACGUUAUUAUCACUCAGAGACCCCCCUGCAGCAACUUUCCCUUCUCUGAGUCCAAUUUUUCUGCAACAACUAAUGUAGGAUUUAAAAGGAGAAAGUUACGAAUUUGAGAAUUCCUUUUAAGGAAAACACAACAGCUGGAGAGAGACGAAACAAAGUGGUUUUAAGCAUUUCACAUGUGCCCGGACUGUUAAUAUAUUUAUUUCAUUUAUUUUUGACAACUGUGCAAGUGCAUAUUAUUUUCUUCUUAUAGACGGGGAAACUCAGCUUGAAUAUAUUAUUUGCCUGAGAAAACAUAGCAGGGAAGUUAUGAAUUCAAAUCCAGUUUACACUCCAUAGCCUAGGCUUUCUAUAACAGAAAAAGUGUUUUUAAUUCAUUUACUGUCAAGUUUCUCCUUACCAGCAAUUCAGAAAUUACUUUUUCCUCUAUCAUUGCAUAUUCUAAGCCCAUGCCAACUCUAAAUAAUCUGUCUAUGCUAUAGAAGUAUUCAACUUAAACUAUGGAUUGACUAAAGGCCACAGGGGACUCACGCCAAGAAGUUGGAAACUUGAAAAUGGUAUAAGCAGGUCACUAGCUCUCUGUGGUCACAGCCACCCCCUAUAACUUCACUAUUCUUAGAAAUAACAAUAUAGGGCUAAGAUGCAAGCUAGUGGCGAGGAGGCAGAUGAUGGGGGUAGAGAAGGAAGAUGGGAAAAGGUUUUCCAGUGUGUCCCAAAACUGAGAUGGUGGUCAGGACCUCAUUCAUCAAUUACUGCAUAACACACAAUGCAGUUAACCAAAUGGGGUGUCCAAGACCACAAUGCAUUAGAAAUUCAGGAAAGGAGACUCCAGCAGAAGACAGGAUAACUGCAGAGCCCUCCGCUGGCCAAACGCUACAGUCGAUUUUUCUGGGUUCUUCACUGCAUUCUGGAGUAAAGUGCCUUGUGUACCUUUGCAGCCACUCUCACUGAGAGAUGGAAUCCCCACCUCUUAAAUCUGGACUAGUCUUGUGACCUCCUUGACAAAGAGAAUGAAGCAGGUGUGGCUAUGUGCCAGUGCUGAGCCUACACUUCAAGAGAUCCACUCUUGUGGAGCCCUGCGGCUACCAUGGGAAUAAGCCAGGGCUAGCCUGCUGGAUGAGGAAAAACACAUAGCCCAGUUGCCCCAGUAACCCAGCCAAAGGCCAGAACACGCUGUAGCUGAUUGAAGGUGCAUAAGUAAGUCCAGUGAGGAACAGAAGAACCAACUGGGCAUGGUGGCUCACGCCUGUAAUCCCUACCUACUCUGCUCAAAAGUGCUGUUCAAAGGAUUUGGGGUACAUCAUUAAACAGAAAACAAAUCCCCGCUCUCUUGAACUUUCCUUCUAUUUGAAGACACAGAUAAAAAGGUAAUAAAUCUAAUGAAUAAAUAAACGAUACCAGCCAGGUGCAAUGGCUCACACCUGUACUCCCAGUACUUUGGGAGGUCAAGGCAGGUGGAUCACCUGAGAUCAGGAAUUUGAUACCAACCUGACCAAUAUGGCAAAACCCCGUCUCUACUGAAAAUACAAAAAUUAGCCAGGUGUGGUGGCACACACCUGUAAUCCCAACUACUCAGCAGGCUGAGGCAAGAGAAUCGCUUGAACCCAGGAGAUAGAGGUUGCAGUGAGCCGAGAUCAUGCCACUGCACUCCAGCCUGGGCAACAGAGUGAGACUCCAUUUAAAAUAAAUAAAUAAAUGAAUGAAACCAUAUGUGGAAAGUUUUAAGUGCUGUGGAAUAACUAGAAUCGAGUGAGGGAAUAAGAAAUGUGGAAUGGAUUAUGAAUAUCAGUUUUAGAUGAGGUUCUCAAGGUAGGCCCUUUUGAAGCCAAGGUGAAAAGAUGGCUUGAGCCCAGGAAUUUGAGACCAGCCUGGGCAACACAGUGAAUCUGACCCCAUCUCUACUAGGCCCGGCACAGAUUUCUGAUAAGCCAAUUGAGAAUGAAUAAAUGGUGGUAACAUUAAGCCUCUAACUUUUGGUGUGGUUAUGACACAGCAAAGCUAAUGGAUAAUAAGCACUUCAGAGUCUCAAUAUGAGCCUGUUUCCUCAUCUGUAAAGCUGGGAUAAUAAUUUUUCCCCACAGGCACUUGGAGCCACUAAGCUAAUAGGAAACCUGCAAUAAAUUUUGCAUCAGA